GAUGAAGAACGUAGCGAAACGCGAUAUGUAAUGUGAAUUGCAGAAUUCAGUGAAUCAUCGAAUCUUUGAACGCACAUGGCGCCUUCCAGUAUCCUGGGAGGCAUGCCUGUCCGAGCGUCGUUUCAACCCUCGAGCCCUCGUGGCCCGGCGUUGGGGAUCUGCCACGGCAGGCCCCGAAAUACAGUGGCGGACCCGUUAGGCCCUUCCUUUGCGUAGUAGCAUCAGCCUCGCAUCGGGAGCCGGCGGGCUCUCCUGCCUCUAAACCCCCCAACAAGCCCGCUCCGGCGGAACCAAGGUUGACCUCGGAUCAGGUAGGAAUACCCGCUGAACUUAAGCAUAUCAAUAAGCGGAGGA
rnacentral:misc_RNA from 1 species